rnacentral:rRNA from 1 species
UACGUAGGGUGCAAGCGUUAAUCGGAAUUACUGGGCGUAAAGCGUGCGCAGGCGGUUAUAUAAGACAGUUGUGAAAUCCCCGGGCUCAACCGGGGAACUGCGCGGGAAACUGCGGGGCUUGAGUUCGGGAGAGGGAAGCGGAAUUCCGGGUGUAGCGGUGAAAUGCGUAGAUAUCCGGAGGAACACCGGUGGCGAAGGCGGCUUCCUGGACCGACACUGACGCUGAGGCGCGAAAGCUAGGGGAGCAAACGGG